rnacentral:rRNA from 1 species
AAAGCUCGUAGUUGAACUUCAGACCUGGCUGGGCGGUCUGCCUAACGGUAUGUACUGUCCGGCUGGGUCUUACCUCUUGGUGAGCCGGCAUGCCCUUCACUGGGUGUGUCGGGGAACCAGGACUUUUACCUUGAGAAAAUUAGAGUGUUCAAAGCAGGCUUAUGCCAGAAUACAUUAGCAUGGAAUAAUAAAAUAGGACGUGCGGUUCUAUUUUGUUGGUUUCUAGAGUCGCCGUAAUGAUUAAUAGGGAUAGUUGGGGGCAUUAGUAUUCCGUUGCUAGAGGUGAAAUUCUUGGAUUUACGGAAGACUAACUAUUGCGAAAGCAUUUGCCAAGGAUGUUUUCAUUAAUCAAGAACGAAGGUUAGGGGAUCGAAAACGAUCAGAUACCGUUGUAGUCUUAACAGUAAACUAUGCCGACUAGGGAUCGGGCGAACUCAAUUUGAUGUGUCGCUCGGCACCUUACGAGAAAUCAAAGUCUUUGGGUUCUGGGGGGAGUAU